UUUGGUAGCAAAGAUGACUUAUCUUUUUUCCCCAGCAGAUCGACUCUGUUGACCGUUUUUCUAACAAUAAGCCAAAUGAUCUGAGCAACCAUA